rnacentral:misc_RNA from 1 species
UUGAAUGAAACUUCUGGCUGGAUGUUGUUGUGCUGGCCCUUUGGGGCAAUGUGCACACCUCUAGUUGUCUGUUUCUUCUGUUCCACCUGUGCAUUGCAUGUAGACAUACACUGUGUCUAUGAUAUGGUUACACACACACACACACACAUUAUUGGUUUACAUGUGAUAUUAUAUAUAUAUAUAACAUAUGACAAUGUAUAUA